rnacentral:pre_miRNA from 1 species
CACAUUUAGGGAUCACCUGGAGAUCUUGUUAAAAUGCAGAUACUGAUUCAGCAGAUCUGAGGUGGUGCAUUUCUAACAGGUUCCCAGAGGAUGCAGAUGCUGC